rnacentral:rRNA from 1 species
AUUGAACGCUGGCGGCAGGCCUAACACAUGCAAGUCGAGCGGCAGCGGGAAAGUAGCUUGCUACUUUUGCCGGCGAGCGGCGGACGGGUGCGUAAUGCCUGGGAAAUUGCCCAGUCGAGGGGGAUAACAGUUGGAAACGACUGCUAAUACCGCAUACGCCCUACGGGGGAAAGCAGGGGACCUUCGGGCCUUGCGCGAUUGGACAUGACGAGGUGGGAUUAGCUAGUUGGUGGGGUAAUGGCUCACCAAGGCGACGAUCCCUAGCUGGUCUGAGAGGAUGAUCAGCCACACUGGAACUGAGACACGGUCCAGACUCCUACGGGAGGCAGCAGUGGGGAAUAUUGCACAAUGGGGGAAACCCUGAUGCAGCCAUGCCGCGUGUGUGAGGAAGGCCUUCGGGUUGUAAAGCACUUUCAGCGAGGAGGAAAGGUUGAUGCCUAAUACGUAUCAACUGUGACGUUACUCGCAGAAGAAGCACCGGCUAACUCCGUGCCAGCAGCCGCCGUAAAAC